rnacentral:rRNA from 2 species
AUACCGGCAGCUCGAGUGAUGACCGAUUUUAUUGGGCCUAAAGCGUCCGUAGCUGGCCGCGCAAGUCCAUCGGGAAAUCCGCACGCUCAACGUGCGGGCGUCCGGUGGAAACUGCGUGGCUUGGGACCGGAAGACCCGGGGGGUACGUCCAGGGUAGGAGUGAAAUCCUGUAAUCCUGGACGGACCGCCGAUGGCGAAAGCACCUCGGGAAGACGGAUCCGACAGUGAGGGACGAAAGCUGGGGUCUCGAACCGGAUUAGAUACCCGGGUAGUCCCAGCCGUAAACGAUGCCUGUUAGGUGUGGCGCCCGCUACGAGCGGGCGUUGUGCCGUAGGGAAGCCGCUAAACAGGCCGCCUGGGAAGUACGUCCGCAAGGAUGAA